AGGACGAACGCUGGCGGCGCGCUUAACACAUGCAAGUCGAGCGAGAACCAGACCUUCGGGUCUGGGGACAGCGGCGAACGGGUGAGUAACACGUGAGCAACCUGCCCCGAAGACCGGGAUAACACCGGGAAACCGGUGCUAAUACCGGAUACCCUCAUCGGACGACAUCGCCUGAUGAGGAAAUGGAUUCCGCUUCGGGAGGGGCUCGCGGGCUAUCAGCUUGUUGGUGGGGUAACGCCCACCAAGGCUACGACGGCUAGCUGGUCUGAGAGGACGAUCAGCCACAUUGGGACUGAGACACGGCCCAGACUCCUACGGGAGGCAGCAGUGGGGAAUCUUGCGCAAUGGGCGAAAGCCUGACGCAGCAACGCCGCGUGGGGGAUGAAGGCCUUCGGGUCGUAAACCCCUUUCAGCAGGGACGAAACUGACGGUACCUGCAGAAGAAGCCCCGGCCAACUACGUGCCAGCAGCCGC
rnacentral:rRNA from 1 species